rnacentral:tRNA from 1 species
GCCCCCUUCGUCUAGCGGCCCAGGACGUCGGGCUUCUCAGCCCGAAACGCUCGUUCGAAUCGGGCAGGGGGUA